rnacentral:rRNA from 1 species
GCGAAGCGACGUCAAAGCGUAUACAAAGUCGAGUCGGUUUAAGGAUACGUUCGUUGGGUAGGGGAGCGUUCUGUAAGCCUGCGAAGGUGGCCUGUGAGGGUUGCUGGAGGUAUCAGAAGUGCGAAUGCUGACAUAAGUAACGAUAAUGCGGGUGAAAAACCCGCACGCCGGAAGACCAAGGGUUCCUGUCCAACGUUAAUCGGGGCAGGGUGAGUCGACCCCUAAGGCGAGGCCGAAAGGCGUAGUCGAUGGGAAACAGGUUAAUAUUCCUGUACUUGGUGUUACUGCGAAGGGGGGACGGAGAAGGCUAUGUUAGCCGGGCGACGGUUGUCCCGGUUUAAGCAUGUAGGCGGAGGCUCCAGGUAAAUCCGGUACCUUUUUAACGCUGAGGUGUGAUGACGAGGC